CAAGUUUCUGAGGAACACGGCCAAGUCCAAGAACCACACCAUGCACAACCAGUCAUGAAAAUGGCACAGAAACAGCAUGAAGAAGCCCAGUCACAAAGAUAUGAAUCUCUUAGGAGAGUAGACCCCAAUAUCCUGAGGAACAUGCACUUUGCCAAGAAGCACGACAA